GACGAACGCUGGCGGCGUGCUUAACACAUGCAAGUCGAACGGAAAGGCCCUGCUUUUGUGGGGUGCUCGAGUGGCGAACGGGUGAGUAACACGUGAGUAACCUGCCCUUGACUUUGGGAUAACUUCAGGAAACUGGGGCUAAUACCGGAUAGGAGCUCCUGCUGCAUGGUGGGGGUUGGAAAGUUUCGGCGGUUGGGGAUGGUCUCGCGGCUUAUCAGCUUGUUGGUGGGGUAGUGGCUUACCAAGGCUUUGACGGGUAGCCGGCCUUGGAGGGUUACCGGCGACAUUGGGACUGAGAGACGGCCCAGACUCCUACGGUAGGCAGCAGUGGGGAAUAUGGCACAAUGGGCGGAAGCCAGAUGCAGCAACGCCGCGUGCGGGAUGACGGCCUUCGGGUUGUAAACCGCUUUCGCCUGUGACGAAGCGUGAGUGACGGUAAUGGGUAAAGAAGCACCGGCUAACUACGUG
rnacentral:rRNA from 1 species